UCUNNAUUGCCUGCUCCUUGUAAUAAAAGCCGCAGAAUAUUUACUGUGCUAAGGUAGCAUAAUCACUUGUCUUUUAAUUAAAGACUAGAAUGAAAGGUAUUACAAUUAAUUAAACCUCCCAAUUAUGAUAUUUUAAUUUUUAUUAAAAAUAAAAAUAUUUUUAUUAAUUUAAAAGACGACAAGACCCUAUCGAACUUUACUGCAGUUGAGCUGGGGAAGCUAACUAAUCAUUAUCUUAUUACAUUUAAUUAUAUCAAUACCCUUUUUAAAAGAACUAUAAUCAAGUUACCGAAGGGAUAACAGCGUUAUAUUUUUUAUAAGCUCUUAUUAAUAAACAAACAUACGACCUCGAUGUUGAAUUAAUUUCCCUUAUCUAUGCAAGAAUAGAAAAAGUGAGUCUGUUCGACUUUUAAAAAAUUACAUGAUCUGAGUUCAAAACCGGAGA
rnacentral:rRNA from 1 species